AUGGUGACUGGGGCCAAACAAAUUAGCUUCUUUCUGCCUCGAUUCUCUCACUUCAAAACACGGCCCCCAAAGCUACCACAUUCUGUUUUAAUGAGGGCGUGGGGAGUUAAUUCUAUACAGCUGCUCACAUAGUGUCUGCUAGCAAUAGUUCUGGGUUGAAAUUCCAGCUCUUUCACUCGCAAAUGUUAAGCUGCUUCCCCGGAGUACGGAGUACACAGAGAGAGAGAGCUACAGCUAUGCAAAGCACAGAGGAUCUUAUCUGCAUGGAGUGAGCUUCUCUGGGGGGAGAACGUAUUACCUAAAGUAAACACCCGGGCGCUUCAGAGUCUCUGACACGGCCCAGCCUUCUCUGUGUCUCCUCCUGGGAAUCUCCAUUAAGCUGCUGGGAAAAGUGUGCUUACGAAGCUCCUUUUGCAUUCUACGUGUAACACAGGCCAGUGCCUGGUCACUUCCUCCAGUGGUAACUCCAGACAGCUCUGAUCGUCCCUCAAGCCUGCAGUCUUCUGAAAACCCCACAAGGACAGCUGCUGAGAUCUUCAGCUCCCACGAGCAAAUCCAAGAACCUUAAAUGGCAAAGAGAAAGGAGCCACACUGGCUAAGGGGAGGCCUGUGUUUGAACAAACACCUUUGAAAGAUCCUACAUCCAUGAUCCGUGCUCUCAGGGACUGUUCCGGCCACCCAGCAGCCAACACAAGCAAAAUGGACUACUGGGCAGGUAAUACGAGCAACAGAGCGGGAGGCAGUCGCCAGAAAGUGUGACCACCCCACUGACUCCAGAGGCAAAUCCUCAUUAAAGGACGCAUGUCAGGAGCAUCAUGCUCACAGCACUUGUUGGGGCCUCCAGAGCCCAGAAAUGCCAGAUCCCCAUCAGCUGAAAUUGUCUCAGUUCUUUCCCACCUUCCUUUCUUAUUUUCACUGCAAGUCAAGUCUCGCGGAAAUUCCUUCCCACUACUGGCUCCUGGUCACAUCAUGAAAGCUUUCCCAAAUCCUGCUUGUUUCCUAGAAGAAGGAAUGGAAAGCGCAGCCACAGAUAUCUGUGUAAAUGUCGCUGUUUAUUAUCGGAAGCUGCGUCCAGGCUGAGAGGACCAUUCCGGGCCUGACACCCCACAGCCUGCUCCUCAUUCACCAGGGCCUUGGGGUAUUUUUAGUGGGAACGAUUUGCCAUCUCUUUUUCCUCUGUCUUUGCUCUUCAGACAGAAGGUUUAUGCUCACUGUGGGUUUUCAAGCCUAGGGAAAGAAGAAAGCCCUGUGAGCUUUCCUCGCCCAUAGAAGGCAGAAAACAAAAUCCACAGAGAGAAACAGAAGUCGCCUCUGUUCUCACCCCAGCCUCCCGUGCAUUGGAAAGGAGCGAGCAGCAGCAUCCAGCAGCUUAACUCCUUCCUGAAAUGCUCGGAACCACAGGCCCAGGGUUCAUUUUUGUAGAAUUAGGUCAUAAACGGGACCAAGCUCGUUAUUGAGUCAUUUGUCACCAAACAGGAGGAAUGCAGUGUCCUAACACGGAAAGAAUGUCAUGCCCCAAACAUUUAUUUCUGGCCGCGUCUUUCCCAGCCUUGCAAUCAAAACUUCAGUGGGAAGCUAGAUAAGCACAGGCCCCCGCCCUCCCCUGCCUACCCCUCAGCCCCUCCACCGCCUGCACCCCACUCCCUGGCCUGCUUCACCUGCCUGAGCUGGGGCCUCUGCCCCAGUUAUGAAAAGGCAAGACAGUUCCCUCGCAUUUCCUCACCCAUUCAUAUCUCCAGCUCCUCAGCUUUGCUGGUUUUCUAGGAAAGCCGUGCCACAUCCCCUUGGCUGGAUAAGCACUCAGUUCUCCAGCGCUCCGGGUGCCCGUACUGGACCAUGGCAGAGGCAGGGCCAGGAGAUUCCUCCACACUCAGGUGCUAGGCGGGAGCUCGCGUGGCCCCACGGGCAAGGGCUGGAGUUGGCCUCUCCUCAGAAGAUCUGUGUAAGGGGCCUGAUUCACACCAACGUCGCCAGUGUCUUGUCCAAUAGUCCAGGGCUUUAGUCCCAGCAUAGUUCACUCUCUAUCAAGGGAACUGUAAUUUUUUCACAUAAAAAAAUCUAGAUUGGCCAUUUCUCCACAUUCUAUCUUUGCACAUGGUGCCUGUAUUUCCAUGCCUGGACCAGAUCUGCCACAUGGAUACACAGCAAGAAUUCUGUGAAUGUAUUCAAUAUCAGAUUUUCCCAAAAUGGAAAAAAAAAAAAGCGGAAUGCUUAAUGAUGGAAAGGAAAACACUGGCCAAAAUAAAUGACUCCUGGAUCCCGACCAGGGGCCGUGACUUGUGUUUGUAGUCA